rnacentral:rRNA from 1 species
UCCAGACUCCUACGGGAGGCAGCAGUGGGGAAUAUUGCACAAUGGGGGAAACCCUGAUGCAGCGACGCCGCGUGAGCGAAGAAGUAUUUCGGUAUGUAAAGCUCUAUCAGCAGGGAAGAAAAAAAUGACGGUACCUGAGUAAGAAGCACCGGCUAAAUACGUGCCAGCAGCCGCGGUAAUACGUAUGGUGCAAGCGUUAUCCGGAUUUACUGGGUGUAAAGGGAGCGUAGGCGGCGCGUUAAGUCUGAUGUGAAAACCCGAGGCUCAACCACGGGAGUGCAUUGGAAACUGGCGGGCUGGAGUGCCGGAGAGGUAAGCGGAAUUCCUAGUGUAGCGGUGAAAUGCGUAGAUAUUAGGAGGAACACCAGUGGCGAAGGCGGCUUACUGGACGGCAACUGACGCUGAGGCUCGAAAGCGUGGGGAGCAAACAGGAUUAGAUACCCCCGUA